UACGUAGGGUGCGAGCGUUAAUCGGAAUUACUGGGCGUAAAGUGUGCGCAGGCGGCCGAGCAAGUCGAGUGUGAAAGCCCCGAGCUUAACUUGGGAACUGCGCUCGAAACUACUUGGCUAGAGUGUGGCAGAGGGAGGUGGAAUUCCACGUGUAGCGGUGAAAUGCGCAGAUAUCAGGAAGAACACCCGUGGCGAAGGCGGUUCUCUGGGACGGUACUGACGCUGAGACGCGAAAGCGUGGGGAGCGAACAGG
rnacentral:rRNA from 1 species